rfam:Solanum tuberosum cultivar DM 1-3 516 R44 scf00039_109, whole genome shotgun sequence.
UGCCUAUUUGAUAGCCAAGGAUGACUUGCCUGCAUCAUUAGUUCUUGAGGUUUGUGAUAUAUCAUGUAUAUGCCAUGUAUACAAGCAUUCUUCUUUGAUGGCCAGGCAGUCUCCUUGGCUACUCUAAUAGGUUCC